rnacentral:rRNA from 1 species
UGGGGAAUAUUGGACAAUGGGCGAAAGCCUGAUCCAGCCAUGCCGCGUGUGUGAAGAAGGUCUUCGGAUUGUAAAGCACUUUAAGUUGGGAGGAAGGGCAUUAACCUAAUACGUUAGUGUUUCGACGUUACCGACAGAAUAAGCACCGGCUAACUCUGUGCCAGCAGCCGCGGUAAUACAGAGGGUGCAAGCGUUAAUCGGAAUUACUGGGCGUAAAGCGCGCGUAGGUGGUUUGUUAAGUUGGAUGUGAAAUCCCCGGGCUCAACCUGGGAACUGCAUUCAAAACUGACUGACUAGAGUAUGGUAGAGGGUGGUGGAAUUUCCUGUGUAGCGGUGAAAUGCGUAGAUAUAGGAAGGAACACCAGUGGCGAAGGCGACCACCUGGACUAAUACUGACACUGAGGUGCGAAAGCGUGGGGAGCAAACA